rnacentral:rRNA from 1 species
GUAGUCAUAUGCUUGUCUCAAAGAUUAAGCCAUGCAUGUCUAAGUAUAAACAACUUUGUACUGUGAAACUGCGAAUGGCUCAUUAAAUCAGUUAUAGUUUAUUUGAUUAUACCUUACUACUUGGAUAACCGUGGUAAUUCUAGAGCUAAUACAUGCUAAAAAUCCCGACUUCUGGAAGGGAUGUAUUUAUUAGAUAAAAAACCAAUGCGGGCAACCGCUUUUCUGGUGAUUCAUAAUAACUUUUCGAAUCGCAUGGCCUUGAGCUGGCGAUGUUUCAUUCAAAUUUCUGCCCUAUCAACUUUCGACGGUAGGAUAGAGGCCUACCAUGGUUUCAACGGGUAACGGGGAAU